rnacentral:rRNA from 1 species
CCAGACUCCUACGGGAGGCAGCAGUGGGGGAUAUUGCACAAUGGGGGGAACCCUGAUGCAGCGACGCCGCGUGGGUGAAGGAGCGUUUCGGCGCGUAAAGCCCUAUCGGCAGGGAAGAAGGAGGACGGUACCUGACUAAGAAGCCCCGGCUAACUACGUGCCAGCAGCCGCGGUAAUACGUAGGGGGCAAGCGUUAUCCGGAUUUACUGGGUGUAAAGGGAGCGUAGACGGCAGAGCAAGUCUGAAGUGAAAGCCCGCGGCCCAACUGCGGGACUGCUUUGGAAACUGCCCGGCUAGGGUGCUGGAGAGGUAAGUGGAAUUCCUAGUGUAGCGGUGAAAUGCGUAGAUAUUAGGAGGAGCACCAGUGGCGAAGGCGGCUUACUGGACAGUAACUGACGUUGAGGCUCGAGAGCGUGGGGAGCAAACAGGAUUAGAUACCCCCGUAAC